AUGUUUUAUAACUAUAUAGUUAGCCCACUAACAUAUUUCUCUCAACAUGCACACAAGCCACCUCAUCAUGAAAACAUGCAUGGAAAAGACCCACCUCAAAAUGCAGAAAGGGGAAGAACAGCUGAAUUAAUUAAUUACAAUAAAUCAUAUGUGUUUUUAGUUUUAGUUCUCAUAUUAUUCAUCCAAAUAUUCAUGUUCAAAAUAAUCAAAUAUGAUGAAAGCAUAUUGCAACCAAAUUUCCCGCUGCAACGCGCGAUUUAUCAUCUAGUUGUAAUAGAGUGUGUCGCACUAUUAUGCUAG
rnacentral:rRNA from 1 species